UACGGAGGGUGCAAGCGUUAUCCGGAUUCACUGGGUUUAAAGGGCGCGUAGGCGGCGCGGUAAGUCACUUGUGAAAUCUCUGAGCUUAACUCAGAACGGCCAAGUGAUACUGCAGUGCUAGAGUGUGGAAGGGGCAAUCGGAAUUCUUGGUGUAGCGGUGAAAUGCGUAGAUAUCAAGAGGAACACCUGAGGUGAAGACGGGUUGCUGGGCCAACACUGACGCUGAUGCGCGAAAGCCAGGGGAGCAAACGGG
rnacentral:rRNA from 1 species